GUUACAGCAUCUUGUCUGCACCCUGGUCUGGAAUUUGCCAGAUGUUUUUCAAAGGAAUAUUUAUGUUUAAUAGUAGCUGUCAUUUACCGAAUGCCAUCGUUGUGUGCAUGUUACAUGUAUUGUCAUAGAUCCUUACAACAGUUCCGCAAGGUGGUAAUUUUGCAUGUGACAAAUCUGAGGCCAGAGGAUGUAAAUAACUUUCAGCCUCACAGCUGCAUAUCAGAGUUAUCCUUAGAUUCAACCCUCCAUGCCAUCAAUCUGCAUUGUAACAACAUCUCGAAGAUCGAAGCCAUUGACCAUGUCUGGAAUUUACAACAUUUAGACUUGUCAUCUAAUCAAAUAAGUCAAAUAGAAGGGCUAAGCACACUGACAAAACUACGCACUUUAAAUUUGUCCUGCAAUUUGAUCACAAAAGUAGAAGGACUUGAAGCACUAAUUAAUCUGACUAGACUGAAUUUAUCCUAUAACCACAUAAAUGAUUUAAGUGGUUUGAUGCCCCUUCAUGGAAUCAAACAUAAGCUUAGAUACAUCGACCUGCACAGCAACUGCAUAGACAGCAUCCAUCACCUACUCCAGUGCGUGGUGGGUUUGCACUUCCUGACGAACCUGGUUUUGGAGAAGGAUGGCGACGAUAACCCUGUCUGUCGGGUGCCAGGGUACCAAGCAGUUAUGCUGCAGACCCUGCCACAGCUUCGAAUCCUGGACUGCAAGAACAUAUUUGGUGAGCCGGUCGACCUCUCACAGAUUAACUCCUCAAGUCUGCAGUGUUUUGAAGGUCUUUUGGAUAAUUUGGCUUCAUCUGAUUCUCCCCUAAAUAUCAGUGAAGAUGAGGUUGCUGAUGGAAUGCCACCGGUGGUUACAGCCCCCACGGGUGAUGACAUGGCCCCCCGGGACCCGUUUGCAAGUACACCGACUGACACUGGGCUGCCAUCUUUCAUGUCUGUGUGCCCACCUGAGCCAGAGAAGGUUAAUGAAGAUACCGAUUUUCAGAACGAGAUGAAACUUCAGAAAUUAGAUGAUCAGUUUUUACAGCUUCUCAAUGAAACUUCUACUUCUUUAAUGAAUAAUGUUCCCGAGAAAGACCUGAUGCUGAAAAGAGACAUGGAUAUCACUUCUGAAAGUGAUUAUGGAAACAGAAAAGAAUGCAAUAGAAAAAUUCCUCGAAGAUCGAAAAUCCCAUAUUAUUCUAAAGCAAUUCAGACCAUUAAGCACUACAACAAAAAUAGUAACUCUUCCAUAAGUUACAGUCAUAAAAUGAAGCAGCCUUUCUUUAAAGACUUGUAUGUGUGUUCCUCUCUGGCAAACUGCAGCCAAGUGGAAGAGGUGGAGGAGCCGAGGACUGAGCUGAUGAAAGUGAACAUCAGUUGCCCAGAGGACACCUACCGGAUACUUGUCGAGCAGCUAGAUCAGGAGAGAGAGAAGAGGUGGAAAGCGGAACAAGCUGAAAAGAAGCUCAUGGAUUACAUUGAUGAACUGCAUAAACAUGCAAACGAAAAGAAAGACAUCCACAGCCUGGCUCUGCUCACCACAGACAGGUUAAAGGAGAUUAUUUUUAAAGAGAGAAAUUCCAAAGUGCAUCUGGAAGUUAUGGUUCACAAACUUCAAAACGAAAUUAAGAAACUAAGUAUUGAAUUAAUUAAAGCAAGAGAUCAGCAGGAGGACCACAUCCGGCACCUGAGAGCCCUGGAGCGAGCGCUGGAGAAGAUGGAGCGGCAGAAAGGGCAGCAGCAGGCGGCACAGAUGAGGCUUAUCGAAGAGGUGGAGCUCAAAGCGGCAGCUGCCGACCGAGAAAUUACCUUGCUUCGAACUUCCCUUCAGCAAGAAAAGGACCAGGUGCAGCAGCUUCACGAUCUCCUUGCACUGAAGGAGCAAGAGCACAGGAAAGAACUUGAAACAAGGGCAUUUUUUAGUGAAGCUGAAUUACAAGAAGCCAUAGCCAAGGAAGUGGCAAAAGAAGAGGUAAAGCAUGAACAAGAGAUCAAAGGAUACCAAGAAAAAAUCGACGCAUUAAAUCAGCAAUACCUGGAUUUAGAGAAUGAAUUUCGUAUUGCUUUAACUCUCGAAGCCAGAAGAUUUAAAGAUGUUAAAGAUGGUUUUGAAAGUGUUGCAACUGAGUUAGCGAAGAGCAAGCAUGCUCUUGUUUGGGCUCAACGGAAAGAAAACGAGUCUUCCUCUUUAAUUAAAGAUCUGGCCUGCAUGGUGAAGGAGCAAAAGUCAAAGCUUGCCGAAGUCUCCAAAAUGAAACACGAAACAGCAACAAACUUGCAGUUGCAUUGCGUUUUCCCAUGCCUGGGGAGUAUACAGAAUCAGAUCAGCACCCUUGAACUCCUGAUCGAAGAUGACAAGCAGAAGAGCAUCCAGCUCGAGCUGCUCAAGCACGAGAAAGUCCAGCUGAUUGCUGAGCUCGCGGCCAAGGAGUCACUGAUUUACGGUCUCAGGACAGAGAGAAAAGUGUGGGGCCACGAGCUGGCACAACAGGGAUCUUGUCUGGCCCAGGAUCGCGGGAAACUGGAGGCGCAGAUCGAAAGUUUAUGUAAAGAGAAUGAGUCUCUGCGGAAGACGAAUGAGCAAGACAGUGACACGCUGAAGAUUAAGUGCAAAAUCAUAGAGGACCAAACCGAGACCAUCGGGAAAUUAAAAGCUUGUUUACAGGAGAGAGAGGAACAGAUCAAAAUAUUACAAGAAAACAUCUGUGAAAUACAGAAAUGUACUCAAGAACAACUUGACGAAAAAUGUUCGCAACUGGAUGACAUAAUUGAGAAACUAGAAAGACACAAUGAAAGAAAAGCAAAACUAAAACAGCAGUUGCAAGUAAAGGAAUUAGAACUUGAAGAAAUUAGAAAAGCUUACAGUACCCUUAAUCAGAAGUGGCAUGACAAAGGGGAGCUCCUCUGUAAUCUGGAAAAACAAGUAAAGGAAGUGAAGGAGAAAUUUGAGAACAAGGAAAGGAAGCUGAAAGCGGAAAGAGAUCAAAGUGUUGAGCGACAAAAGGAUGCUGUGGAAAAGCUCCAUUGUAUGGAUGAUGCCUUUAAAAAACAAGUGGAGGCAAUUGUAGAAGCUCACCACGCUGAAAUAAUACAACUGGAAAAUGAAAAGCAAAAAUAUAUUGAUUCUGCAAAUUUAAAGGGUCUUGGGACAUAUCCCCACAGAUGGGGGGACUCUCUUCUGUACAUGGGAGACUCAGAAAUAAGCAGCCAGAAAGAGCCCCACCAGAGAAAGUGACAGGAAUCUCUGUGUCAUUCUGGUCAAGGUUGUGUGAUUAGUGGACAUGACUCGGGAGUCUGUGAAGAGCGGAUGAGAGCUUUAGAAAGCAUCACAAUGAUAAGGAAGUAUGACUUGUUCAGAACUUAGUUCUAUAUUUCAAGUCAAAUCAACAGACGUUUCAGAUGUUUUAUUUAAGAUCUGCUGAGUGUUUGGCAAAGGUACAUCAGGUACCAAGUCAAGUAUCAGGAUAGGCGCUUACUUGGCUGAAAGGAAAAUGCCAAGUUCUGUUUUAGACCUCCCACCAAUAUGACAUAAAAUUAAAGGGAUAGAUUUGUUGAGGAGUUAAAUAAAUGGUACCAGAAUUUACAUGUGACAAUAAAAAAAAAAAAAAAAAAAAAAGUGAGGUACCACAGAGAAAUGAUAAUUUAAAUUAGGAGAAAUAUUAACUUUCUGGGGGAGAAAAAGUAGGAAAUCUAUAUUAGGAAGAUUUAUAUUAAUCUAGUGAUGAGGAAGAGGGCUGGGCAUAGUGAUAAUCCUUUUGUGAGAGCUGUAUUAAAGAAGAGAGUUUCAAGCAGAAAUUAAUGGUAUUAAUUACAGAAAACUCUGCGGGGAGCAACCCAUUGUCUUCGCCAGCAGAGUGGUGUGGACAAGGAACCCGGAAGGGCGGUGACCUAGAGCUCUGGUGCAGGUCAGGGCAUACACUCUCUGUCCAGUGGAGACAAUGGCAGCUGAGGCCACUUUCCCACCAGGUCAUGUGAAUCCUUACUGUAAGAGUCUGCCUGUUACUGGAAAUUGCCUGCCUAAGGGCUAUAGGUGUCUCCCAAACUGAAUAAAAGAUGACAAAGCCAGUGCCCAAGUGGAGUCCUUCCUCUUGAGCUGGGCUCCCACCUGGUCCCCCCAUAUUUCCAAAUUAUUGUUUCUUGUCUCUCAUUUGCGUGUGGCCCCUCUUCCAGAGCCCGAGCCCUGAACCAUGCGGGAUGUGGGGAAUUCACAGAACUCUACUGAUUAAAUGACCCCUCAGAAACAUGGCAGUUUUUUUUAAACACUUUUUUAAAAUACGUUUUUAUUGAUUUUUAGAGAGGGGGAAGGAGGACAGAAGCAUCAUUGAUCGAUACCUCCUGCAUGGCCCCUACUGGGGAUCGUUACCCCAGGCAUGUGCUCUAACUGGGGAUUAAAUCUGUGACCUCUUUUUUCCUGGGUCGAUGCUUAACCGCUAAGCCACACCAGCUGGGCAAAGAUGGAAAUUUAAAACCACCAACAGCAACUGAAGAAAUGCUGUUGGAACUAUAGUAGAUUAUCUAUCAUUGGGAAGGGAAGUUAUGUUAAGUUUGAAAGUCCGUAAGGGUCUAGUGUUUAAGGUGAGUGCAUGACUCAGCACUCAUGGCAGUAAAGGACAGUGCAGACCUGAAGCCAGAAGAAUGCAUGACUCGGCACUCAUGGCAGCACAGGACAGUGCAGAGAUGGAGCCAGGAGACUCUUUCUGUCCACACGUGCUACUGAAGCUGCAUGACCUUCAACAAAUCGUCUAAGCUCUAAAACAGAGUAAAUAAAUCACCACAUGCCCACCACCAGAACCUGUGAGAAAUAGAUACUAAACAUGUUCAUCAAGUUGAAGAAGAAAUGCGUGAACUUCUGCAAGAAAACUGCAAGAACAAAAAAGCACUGGAAGCAAAAAUUAAGCAUCUUGCUUUUGCUCUAAAUGAAAUUCAUCAAGUCUUGUGAUGGUUCUGAAAACGAAUUCAAUUGAAAUGGAUCAGCAGACCAAUUGUAAAAAUAAUUAAAUAUUGUAACAGUAGUAA